UACGGGGGGGGCAAGCGUUGUUCGGAAUUACUGGGCGUAAAGGGCUCGUAGGCGGCCAACUAAGUCAGACGUGAAAUCCCUCGGCUUAACCGGGGAACUGCGUCUGAUACUGGAUGGCUUGAGUUUGGGAGAGGGAUGCGGAAUUCCAGGUGUAGCGGUGAAAUGCGUAGAUAUCUGGAGGAACACCGGUGGCGAAGGCGCCACUCUGGGCCGGUACUGACGCUGAGGAGCGAAAGCGUGGGUAGCAAACAGG
rnacentral:rRNA from 1 species